rnacentral:lncRNA from 1 species
CCGGUUUGUUUGAUUGUUUGGUUUUUUUUUUGUUUGUUUGUUUGUUUUUUGAGACAGGAUUUCUCUAUGUAAGUAGCUAUGGCUGUCCUGGAACUUGUUCUGUUGACCAGACUGUCCCAGAACUCAAGAGAUGUGCCUGCCUCUGGCUCAGAGUGCUGAAAUAAAAGACAGGGCUCUUAUAUUGCAAGCUGGCCUCCCGUCCCUGCCUUCUGCAUCACCCUGCUGGAAAAUAUUUUCUAGCUAUAUAAAAUAAAAGUCUCCAGAUAUUUAUUUAUUUUGUUUUUUUGAGACAGGGUUUUUCUGUAUAGCCCUGGCUGUCCUGGAACUCACUUUGUAGACCAGAUUGACCUCGAACUCAGAAAUCCGCCUG